rnacentral:rRNA from 1 species
AGAGUUUGAUCCUGGCUCAGAAUGAACGCUGGCGGCGUGCUUAACACAUGCAAGUCGAACGAGAACGGGAUUGCUUGCAAUCCUUAGUAGAGUGGCGCACGGGUGAGUAACACGUAGAUAAUCUACCUCCAAGCCCGGGAUAACUAUUCGAAAGGAUAGCUAAUACCGGAUGAAGUUGCCAGGCAUAAGUCUGGUCAUGAAGGUUGCCUCUUCUUGAAAGCAAUUGUUUGGAGAUGAGUCUGCGGACCAUUAGUUUGUUGGUGGGGUAAAGGCCUACCAAGACUACGAUGGUUAGCUGGUCUGAGAGGAUGAUCAGCCACACUGGAACUGACACACGGUCCAGACUCCUACGGGAGGCAGCAGUGAGGAAUCUUGCGCAAUGGGGGAAACCCUGACGCAGCAACGCCGCGUGAGUGAAGAAGGCCCUUGGGUCGUAAAGCUCUGUCGACAGGGAAGAAAUUACUUUGUAUUAAUAGUGCAUUGUAUUGACGGUACCUGUAGAGGAAGCACCGGCUAACUCCGUGCCAGCAGCCGCGGUAAUACGGGGGGUGCAAGCGUUAUUCGGAAUUAUUGGGCGUAAAGGGCGCGUAGGCGGUCUUGUCGGUCAGAUGUGAAAGCCCGGGGCUCAACCCUGGAAGUGCAUUUGAAACAGCAAGACUUGAGUACCGGAGAGGAGAGC